UCAAAAUUCAUCAAGAACAAGAAGAGGAUUUGUAAUUGGGGAUUUAAUUUCAAGAAAUUCUCUCCGUCGAUCUUCGUAAAAUGAAGAACUAAGGUAUGCAUAGUGUUCAUCAAUGGAUUCCUUUCAUCCAUGGAGCUCAAGAAUCAAGUUUUAAGUUAUGUAUCAUGCAUAUUUUGUGGUGGGAUGAUUAUGUUCAUGUUGAUGAUGUUAAAUUGAGUUUUUAAUUCCAUGAGCUAUCUCAAGAAUCAUGAAAAAUAAUUUAUUUUAUAAUAUUAUUCAUAUGAACUUUAUGUUGAGUUCUUGAAAUUAUAAGUUGGACGUUUAUGAUUUUGUUGUUG
rnacentral:lncRNA from 1 species